AUUGAACGCUGGCGGCAGGCUUAACACAUGCAAGUCGAGCGAGCGGCGGACGGGUGAGUAAUGUCUGGGAAACUGCCUGGUGGAGGGGGAUCACUACGGGAAACGGUAGAUAAUACCGCAUACAAUCAGAUGAGCCAAGAUGGGAUUAGCUAGUAGGUGGGGUAAUGGCUCACCUAGGCGACGAUCCCUAGCUGGUCUGAGAGGAUGACCAGCCACACUUGAACUGGGACACUGGCCAGACUCCUACGCGAGGCAGCAGUGGGGACUAUUGCACAAUGGGCUCAAGCCUGAUGCAGCCAUGCCGCGUGUAUGAAGAAGGCCUUCGGGUUGUAAAGUACUUUCAGCGGGGAGGCGUUACCCGCAGAAGAAGCACCGGCUAACUCCGUGCCAGCAGCCGCGGUAAUAC
rnacentral:rRNA from 1 species